UGUUCAUGGGCUCCUCUGCCUGCAGUUGCAGCAUGAAGACCGCCUGAAGGCAGAGAGCGGCGGAGUCAUCAGGAAGGGGAACCCUCUCCAGGGCCCUAGAGUGGGCUCACACGUGCUGACAAAGCAAGAGACUUGGCUGGAGGGGCGCCCGGGAGGACAGCAGCAGGGGAACUCUAGAAGGACCCGUAAGAAACAAAACACUACCUGCGGAGGGCAGACGGCCCUGGGCACACAGGCUAAACGACAGGAGGCACAAAUUAA